UGCCACCUCAUAAUUAUUCAAGGGAUUUCCAUGCAAGAGGACUCAUACUUCCAUUCACCAUCCAAUCAUUCACUCUCUUAUCCCCUCUCUUUCUUUCUCUCGGCCGAAACAACACCCACACACACACUUCACACAAAAGUCUCUCAAAUAAACUCUCUCAAUUCCUCUCCAAAACUUUCGAGAUCUAAGGAAAUUUCAAGAAGAUGUCUCCAUAAAUUCUUCAUCUAAGGUAAGAUCAUGCUUGGAUAUAUGAUCUAGGUUCUUUGUUUUAUCAAAAAUCUCCUUCUAAUCUGUCACACCCCGAAAACCGAAGGCGGAAACAUUUCCGGGGUUGACUCCAUAUUGAGUAUCAAAUCCAAUGCACAUAGUAAGUAAAGUAGAACAACCAUUACAUUACAUAUAGAAAAGCUCACAUUUGUUUCAAAAUUAAGUUGUACAGUUGUAAUACAUAGUAUAUAUAAACAAAACGAGACAAGUCUUCUGCGUACUCCGACCUGGAACAAAAUGAUCUUCGGGUACCUGUUCUAACGCUGACCUGAGAACACAAGCGGUUUGAAAAUCAGCAUAACGCUGGUGAGUUCAUAAGUGGUUUUUGUUUUGUGAAAGUGUUCGAGUUUCCUUUUUGUUUCUGAAAAUGUUACACACACCAAGAAAAUCCCAUAUUUUCUUAAAAAGAUUGGUUUUUGUUCUCAACAUGUAAAGUAUAGUUGUACACUGAAAACACGUUUACUCUUGUGAAAAUGUACAAUUAUGUUAUCUGGUUUGUUAUACUGUUCUGGUUACGUACCAAUGUAUCCCCAGGAAAGUUCUAUACUUUCCUGAUUGUGUUUUUACCAAUUGUAACAGAUGUAAAGUUAUCCGUUUUGUUACACUUUUCUAUUUAUGUAAACGUUUCCCAGGAAAGUCCCAUACUUUCCUGAAUGUUGGUUAUCAAUGUAAAAGAUGUAUUCUGAAACCUGGUUAUCUUGUAAAAUGUGUUGAGUUAUUCAUUAUUACUAUUAAGUAAAUCACUGUUAUCCUAAUUGCGAGUUCCAUAACCAUACGAUAGACUAGAUAUGGCAAUAAGUAGUCCACAUCACCUUAUGACUUUCGUCACCCUUGAACCAUUUCAGUUCGGCUGUAGCUAGCAGCCAGGUGUGGGGUAGUCAGCCUCGUAUAGAUCUAUACACUCAAGUCACGCUCUCUAAUCCCCAGAGAUUCUGGUUACGGGUGCAGUCCUCCACUCGCGUAUCUCUGUGGAGUGUUCACCGAGGACGUGUCUCCAAUCAUACAGGACUAACAAUUUACUAGUAAUAAUAUGAUAAUCCUCCACUCGCGUAUCUCUGUGGAGUGUUACCGAGGAUAUACAGUGUACAAGUUUUAUGAUAAUAACAUGCUUUUAACUGAUAAAAUGUAGAAACCAUUUGUGAAAUAUAUAUAAAACAUAAUAGUUUAUAAACCCAUUUCACAAAUAAUAUGUUUACGUGAUCUGCAUGUUCAAACGAUUAUCAGUUGUAUCAAUCAGUGUUAAAAGCAUAUAAAAUGUGAAGCACACAUGAAAACAAGUUUUGAGUACAAGUAACCCCUUGUACUUUGCUUAUGUUCCCCCCUGAAAACAGUGAAAAACAAUUGAAAACAGUGAAAAAGGGUAGGGGUAUGAACUCACCGCUUAAUGUAGAGAUCGAGUGUCAACGGAUGCCCUGAACUCCUAUGGCCCCUACUUUACAUGUGAUGACACAUAAAUGAGUUAGAACUAAGGUUUUUCCAUGACUAAACAUGAUGGGAAAACAUCCUUAGGGAUUGGAAUUACUAAGAAUAAGUGUCCUAUGAUCCAAACUUAAUGAUUUAUGCAAGUUUAGGGCCAAAAAUGGGUAUUAGAGUGGGUGUAUGGUCUUGAAAAUGAGUGUGCGGCUGGCGAGUGCAGCCAGGAGUGUGUGAGAGGCAGCACAAAAGAGUGUGCGGCCGUACAGCGGGUGUGUGCGGCCGUAAACAGGAGUGUGCGGCCGUACACUCCUCAUUUGAGUCCAUAUGUUGAUUUUGAAGUGUAUGCUCUUCAUACUUGGGAAUUUUGAAUGUAUGCUGCCCCCAUUUGAAGGUGUGCGGCCGUACACCUUCAUGGGAUGAUGAAUAUGAUGAAUAUAAUGAGUUUUAAGCUUGGGAUUCAAGUGUUUACCACUACACUUAGCUUGAAGAUGAAGUAGAUCACGAUUAUGAAGCCUUCCAAGUGUUCUUGGUUAAUGAUUUAGAGAGAGAAAGUAGAGAGAGGGAAGAGAACAUCUAAAUGAAUGAAUGAAGAGGUAUCCAUCCAUAAAUUGAAUUGGGUGUGAGGUUGAGGGUGUUUGCGGUUGGGUGUGUGGCCGUACACACAGGUGUGUGGCCGCACACACCUUAUUUGGUGAGUUUUGGCCCGAUUUUGUGAUACUAAACACUCUCCAACCCUUCCUAAGACUCAUAUCUAAAUUAUACUAAGUCUAAAGCACCCAUAUGAAAUCACAAGAUUUAAUAAAAGACAAUGAACUCAAGUUUUAGUGCUGAAACACAGAUCAAUUACAUGGGUUAGAAGUUUCGGGUUGUCACAUUAUCCCCCUGUUAGAGGGAAUUUCGUCCCGAAAUUCAAAAUUAAGAUACAAGUCAAGAUACAAAUCAUGGAUCUGGAAAGAGAUGCGGAUACUUCUGUUUCAUCGAGUCUUCACGCUCCCAAGUGAACUCCGGUCCCCGCUUGGCAUUCCAGCGGACCUUCACUAACGGGAUGCGGCUUUGCUUUGUACGUUUGACUUCUCGAUCCAUGAUUUCGAUCGGUUCCUCCACGAAAUUGAGGUUUUCAUUGAUCUCGAUCUCGUCUAAAGGAAUUACUAAGGUUUCAUCGGAUAGGCACUUCUUGAGAUUUGAAACAUGGAAGACGGGAUGAAUGUUACUGAGCUCAUGGGGUAAACGAAGUUUAUAGGCUACCGGACCGAUCCUGGCGAGGAUCUCGAAGGGUCCAAUGUACCUAGGGUUAAGUUUCCCACGCUUUCCAAAGCGUACCGUGCCUUUCCAGGGCGAGACCUUCAACAGGACACGGUCUCCAACCUGGAAUUCCAGAGGUUUCCGGCGGUUAUCAACGUAACUCUUUUGGCGAUCUCGUGAAGCUUUCAAUCGUUCUCGGAUUUGGAUGAUCUUCUCAGUGGUUUCGCGGAUGAUUUCAGGACCAGUGAGAGCACUGUCGGGGAUUCGACUCUUGGCUAGCUGUGUGUCCCCCAACUCGGCCCAGCACAGAGGGGAUCUGCACUUACGACCGUAUAGGGCUUCAAACGGGGCAACCCUGAUGCUGGUGUGGUAACUAUUGUUGUACGAGAACUCGAUCAAAGGUAGAUGUGUGUCCCACGACUUUCCAAAAUCAAUGACACAUGCUCUAAGCAUGUCCUCCAGGGUUUGGAUAGUUCUCUCACUUUGUCCAUCGGUCUGAGGAUGAUACGCUGUGCUCAUGUUUAGAUUGGUUCCAAGGGCUUUCUGGAGAGACUGCCAGAAUCUGGAGGUAAACCUGCUAUCUCGAUCAGAGAUAAUGGACGCAGGUACACCGUGCAGUCGAACUACCUCUUGGAUGUAAAUUCGCGCGAGUCUUUCCAUCUUGAAUGAUUCUUUGAUCGGAAUGAAGUGAGCGGACUUUGUCAAACGAUCGACAAUUACCCAAAUGGUGUCGUACCCACUCGGACACUUGGGUAACUUGGUGAUGAAAUCCAUGGUAAUCAUCUCCCAUUUCCAUUCGGGUAUCUCGGGCUGCUGGAGCAGACCCGAGGGUUUCUGGUACUCAACUUUCACCUUGGCGCAAGUCAAGCACUUGCCCACGAAUGUAGCGAUCUCGGCUUUCAUGUUGGGCCACCAGUAUUGUUUCUUAAGAUCUAAGUACAUCUUGUAUGAACCUGGGUGAAUAGAGUAUCAGGUCUUGUGUGCUUCCUCCAUGACAAUCUCCCUGAAUCCUCCGGACUUUGGAAUCCAGAUUCGAUCCAUGAAGCAGUAGACUCCGUCACCUCUGAUCUCAAGUUUCUUUUCCAUUCCUCUCAAGGCUUCGAUUGACACGUUCUCGGGUUUGAGGGCUUCUAACUGGGCUUCUCGGAUUUGCAUGGAUAAGUUGGAAUGGAUGGUCAUCGUCAGGGUCUUCACCUUUCGGCUUGAACUCUCCUUUCGGCUAAGGGCAUCUGCUACCACAUUGGCCUUGCCGGGAUGGUAACGGAUUUCACACUCAUAAUCACUGAGUAGUUCUACCCAUCGUCGUUGCCUCAUGUUCAAGUCUUUCUGAUCAAAGAUGUGCUGCAGGCUCUUAUGGUCAGUGAAGAUCGUACACUUGGUUCCGUAGAGAUAAUGUCUCCAAAUCUUCAAUGCAAAGACUACGGCUCCUAAUUCCAAGUCAUGUGUGGUAUAGUUGACCUCGUGUGCUUUCAGCUGUCUAGAGGCAUAAGCAAUUACUUUUCCUCUUUGCAUAAGCACACAGCCUAAGCCUUGAUUAGACGCAUCGCAGAAGACAACGAAGUCCUCUGUCCCUUCGGGUAGGGACAGAACAGGCGCGCUGCACAAGGCUUUCUUCAACGUCUGGAAUGCAGUUUCUUGCUUAUCACUCCAACAAAAGGGUACACCUUUCUGUGUUAGAGUGGUUAAGGGUUUGGCGAUUCUGGAAAAGUUCUGGAUAAAUCUCCGAUAAUAGCCGGCGAGACCCAAGAAUUGCCGGAUUUCUGUGGGUGUCUUCGGUGCCGACCAAUUCUCUAUCGCUUUAAUCUUGGAAGGAUCUACAUGAAUACCCUCCUCGCUUACCACGUGACCGAGGAAAGUUACCUUCCGAAUCCAGAACUCACACUUGGAAAAUUUCGCGUACAACUUCUCGGAUCUAAGGGUUUCCAACACUAGCCUCAAGUGCUGUUUGUGAUCUUCUUCGCUUCUGGAGUAGACAAGUAUGUCAUCAAUGAAUACAAUGACGAACUUAUCCAGAUAAGGACGACACACCCGGUUCAUCAGGUCCAUGAACACUGCCGGUGCGUUGGUUAGACCGAAGGGCAUCACUACGAAUUCGUAGUGUCCAUACCGAGUUCUGAAAGCUGUUUUGGAAACAUCACUCUCAUGAACUCGUAGCUGAUGGUACCCUGACCGAAGGUCUAUCUUGGAGAAGUAACUGGCUCCCUGGAGUUGAUCGAAGAGGUCAUCUAUUCGCGGAAGAGGAUAUCGGUUUUUGACGGUCAACUUGUUCAGCUCGCGAUAGUCGAUACACAUCCGAAAGGAUCCAUCUUUCUUCUUAACGAACAAUACCGGAGCUCCCUAGGGUGAGGAACUCGGUCUAAUGAAUCCUUUACUGAGCAACUCAUUGAGUUGGCUGGAUAACUCCUGCAUUUCUGCUGGAGCUAAGCGAUACGGAGAUUUUGCCACAGGGGUAGCUCCAGGAAUUAGGUCAAUACGGAACUCGACCUGACGCUCGGGAGGAAUUCCUGGAAGCUCUUCGGGAAAUACAUCAGGAAAGUUACAGACUUCGGGGAUGCUCGCGAGGUCUUUAACUUCCUGUUUCUCGUUGAUUACAUGGGCCAAGAAUGCAAUGCACUCCUUUCGCAGGAGCUUUUGAGCUUUGAUGCAGGAAAUGAUACGAAGAUUGGAACUGAGUUUAUCGCCAUAGAUUACGAGAGUUUGAUCCGAAGGAAGGUUGAGACGGAUGGCUUUUUCGAAACAGAGGAUAUCAGCAUGAUUGGGACUCAACCAAUCCAUGCCAAUGAUGACAUCAAAGCUCUUUAUGGAAACUGGCAUGAGAUCGAUGGGAAAUGAAUGGUCGUUCAGGGUAAGGGUACAACCUACGAAUAUCUCGUUAGCGCUUUCUUUCUCACCAUUAGCCAUCUCGACGGUAAACGUUUCAGUUAAAGGUUGGGGAUUAUGUUUUAGGUUAUGUUUGAACGAAUGACUAACAAAGCUUCUUUCAGCACCCGAAUCGAAAAGAAUACUAGCAUAUGAGUUGUCGAGAAGGAACGUACCCGAGACAACAGUGGGAUCGGCGACCGCUUCCUCCCGUCCUAUGGCUAGGACUCUCCCGGUGUUAUCGGCUGUAGACUUCUUGGGGCAGUUCCUUUUAAAGUGCCCAACUUCACCACAGUUGUAGCAGGCUUGACCAACACCUGCUCCCGAAGAUUGAUUGGCCGAUUGGGCCGGAGCUUUGCAGAAUCGAACCGUGUGCCCCUUCUUACCACAAUUGGUACAUGAUAGUUCUCGGCAGGGGCCGGGGUUGUGAUGAUAUUUGCACUUGUCACACAAAGGAAGAUUACCAGCAUAUCUGCUAGUAGGAGUUGGAGCUGUGGAUCCCACAACAGAAGCAGCAGCAACGGGGGUAGUAGCAGCAUGGACUGCUACAGUCUGCUGUCUCUUGGAGGAUCCUUGGGAAGAUUGACCCUUCUUCUUCUUCCAGAACUUUCUCUUCUCACCACUCCUUUUAGUCGACUCAGAAGCGGUGGUGGUUUCCUCGACAUCAUCACUAUGAUCAAUUAGGGUUUGGGCUAAAGUCUUGGCACUAUCAUAGGUAUCCGGACGAGCAGCUAAGACAUGACCCUUUGUUGGUUGAGUUAACCCCCAAAUGAACCUCUCGAUCUUUUUACUUUCAGGAGUGACUAGUCCCGGGCAGAGAAGUGCGAGAUCAUCGAAUCGGGAAGUGUAUGCAGCAAUGUCGGAACCUUUCAUCUUCAGGUUCCAGAGCUCAUGCUCUAGCUUCUGCAUUUCACCACGGGGACAAUAUUCGGCAAGGAGGAGUUCUUUCAUGGCGUCCCAGCCCAUGGCAUUGGCUACGGGUAGGGUCAAGGAUUUGACUCGGCCAUUCCACCAAGUCAAGGCUUUAUCACUGAAGGUACAAGCUCAAAUUUGACCUUAUCGGACUCAGUACAGGCACAAAUUUCAAAAAUGGAUUCGAUUUUCUCGAACCAUCGGGACAAGGAAAUGACACCACCAGUGUCAUCGAAGGAUGAAGGCUUCGCAUUCAUGAAGUCCUUGUAGGAACCCUCCUUCCGGUGUUCCUGAUUACUUUCUUGAUCUUGAGUACCACCUCCCAAACCACGGGUGUUUAAUUGGGACAUAGCAGCUGCCACCGCGGCGGUAACAACUGUUUGGAAUAACACGGGAUCAAUUUCAGGAGGAGGUGGUGGCGGAGGGUUGUUGGUCUUUGAGCUGGGUCUCUUUCUGGGAGGCAUCUUGAUCUAAUAAGAUCAAGAAAGAGAGGAUGAUAAGUCCUCUGAAUUGAAUCGAGAGAUAUGACAGAUAUUUAUUCCAAAUAAGCGAUAAAGCAGNUGAAGUCCUUGUAGGAACCCUCCUUUCGGUGUUCCUGAUUACUUUCUUGAUCUUGAGUACCAUCUCCCGAACCACGGGUGUUUAAUUGGGACAUAGCAGCUGCCACCACAGCGGUAACAGCUGCUUGGAAUAACACGGGAUCAAUUUCAGGAGGAGGUGGUGGCGGAGGGUUGUUGGUCUUUGAGCUGGGUCUCUUUCUGGGAGGCAUCUUGAUCUAAUAAGAUCAAGAAAGAGAGGAUGAUAAGUCCUCUGAAUUGAAUCGAGAGAUAUGACAGAUAUUUAUUCCAAAUAAGCGAUAAAGCAAAAAAGAGUUAUUGAAGCAGGUAAACUAUCGCUAAUGGAAUGAUCGAGGAUCUAUACGUCAACGAGGAUUCUUACAAAGAAUUAGCUCGAGAAAUACUCCCUUAGUAUUUCAUGAUUUGUUACUACACUGGCGCAAUGUUUGUGGUAUUAGGGUAAGUUCUAGGCAUGCCGCAUACCACAGUCACUCCCAAGCACAUGUUGGCCGUGUCUCGAAUGAAUAUAGUUGGCCAGGCUAUAUUGAUCCUAGACACGACUACAUAACUGCCCAGGUUUAACCGUAGUACACAACACCCAUUUACUUAUGUUUUGUUCUACUUGUAGUUACGGAUCUCGACGGUUCGGUAUACUUGUAUACUUUUGAAAAUACUUAUAGUUUGAAGAUACUUUUAUUUCAGAGCACUUAGGCCCUUUAGUGUUUAUAGUUUUAUACCAUGUAAGGUUUGGUAUACUUUAUUCACUAUAAACAAGGGCUCUGAUACCAAUCUGUCACACCCCGAAAACCGAAGGCGGAAACAUUUCCGGGGUUGACUCCAUGUUGAGUAUCAAAUCCAAUGCACAUAGUAAGUAAAGUAGAACAACCAUUACAUUACAUAUAGAAAAGCUCACAUUUGUUUCAAAAUUAAGUUGUACAGUUGUAAUACAUAGUAUAUAUAAACAAAACGAGACAAGUCUUCUGCGUACUCCGACCUGGAACAAAAUGAUCUUCGGGUACCUGUUCUAACGUUGACCUGAGAACACAAGCGGUUUGAAAAUCAGCAUAACGCUGGUGAGUUCAUAAGUGGUUUUUGUUUUGUGAAAGUGUUCGAGUUUCCUUUUUGUUUCUGAAAAUGUUACACAGACCAAGAAAAUUCCAUAUUUUCUUAAAAAGAUUGGUUUUGUUCUCAACAUGUAAAGUAUAGUUGUACACUGAAAACAUGUUUACUCUUGUGAAAAUGUACAGUUAUGUUAUCUGGUUUGUUAUACUGUUCUGGUUACGUACCAAUGUAUCCCCAGGAAAGU
rnacentral:lncRNA from 1 species